rnacentral:lncRNA from 1 species
GUAAUGAUCUCUUUUGCUUCAUAGCAACAAUGAAAUUAACCUCUCUUUUGUCCUGCAGGUGUUAUGUUCUGAUAAUGCAUAUCCUUUACAAGUAUGGGCAAAUUAUUUGCUUUGCAUACAAAUUGAGCAUAAAGCUGAAUCCAUAUGGAAAAAAAAUGAGCACUUCUUCAUAUUUUUAAACUAAAAAGUACACAGAAAUCAAGAUGUGCCCAGCAGCUGAGGGUCUUAACUUAUUGUGAAGACGCCUGGAGAUUGUCUGGAGACACCUGAUUCUUACCACAUUGUGAAGUUAUGUCACUUGUAGCAUAUGCUCUGGUUAAGGAGCUGGAAAGUGUUCUACAGUCCCUUGGGAAAAAAACACCCAGAGACUACCAGUAUUUUCAGAGCCGGUCACAAACUGCAAAGUCACAGGAAUUUUGGAGUGUCUUACAAAAGCCAAUAUAAAAUAGGCACGCAACAGUUAGAAAACAUAACUGAACCGAAGAUAAGACUUUCUUCCCUUCAUAUUUUCCAGUUUUCUUUUGGUCAGAGCCUUCGAAUAGAAAUACUUGAUUUCAACUGACUUCUGAGGUCUACUGCAUGUUUUGUAUUUAAGUUGAAAUUAAAUGUUGUGCCAUAUUGACCAUUAGUGUGUGGAAUCGUGUAGGAACUUAAUCCUUUAUUCAGUAAAUGCAGUUUAGAUGAUUGUUUUGGACUUUUUCAUGAUGUGUCACAAAGUGAAAGAGAACCAACCACUUCUAGGAAUGAUAAUCUAUCCUCUCAGUUAUUAGGAAGAAGAGUUUGAGUUAAAGUUCAGUAAGUACAGAAAUUUCCUUUCUAAUAAAAGAGAGAAAGAGAAUUGUUCCA